rnacentral:rRNA from 1 species
UUUAAGGUCUAGCCUGCCCAAUGAGGGUUUUAAUGGCCGCAGUAUUUUGACUGUGCAAAGGUAGCAUAAUUAUUAGUUUUUUAAUUGAAAGCUUGUAUGAAGGGUUGGACGAGAUAAAAUCUGUCUUUAUUUAAAUUAAAAUAUAAUUUAACUUUUAAGUAAAAAGGCUUAAAUGUUUGUAAAAGACGAGAAGACCCUAUAGAUCUUUAUUUAAUUAAAAUUUUAAUAAUUUAGGAUUAUUUUAAUUUAAAGUUUUAAUUGAAUUUUAUUGGGGUAAUAUAAAGAUUAAAUAAAUUCUUUUUAUUUAUAACAUUGAUUUAUGAAUAUAUGAUCCAUUAAUAUUGAUUAUAAGAUUAAGUUACCUUAGGGAUAACAGCGUAAUUUUUUUAGAGAGCUCAUAUCGAUAAAAAAGUUUGCGACCUCGAUGUUGGAUUAAAAAUUAGCUUGGGUGCAGAAGCUCAAGAUUUUGGUCUGUUCGACCAUUAAAUUUUUACAUGAUCUGAGUUCAGACCGGUGUAAGCCAGGUCGGUUUCUAUCUUUAUUCAAAUAAAAUGUUUUAGUACGAAAGGACCAAACAUUUAAUAUAAUUAUAUUUUAUUUUU